AUGAAGAACAUUCUCGCCGUAAUCAUGGUGGUACUCAUGGCCACCAUACUACUCAAAGCUAUAGUAGUAUUCAGCCCUAAUAAGAUUCUUGCCUGGCUCCAUACCCUUCGACCAGUGCACCUCUUCAUGGCAACCUUCUUAUCAUCUGUCACAAUUUUGCAUUACCUUAUCCACCGUCCUCGUGUUGUAUACCUUAUCGAUUAUGCUUGCUUCCGACCUAGCAACUACCGUGUCCCCAUAUCAGGUCUCGGUAAUGAGACUUACUAUCCCCCUAGCGCAUGGUAUAUUCCUCCUGACCACUGUCUAAGAAAAACUCGUGAUGAGGCAGAAAUGGUCAUAUUCACUAUUUGUGAUGAAUUAUUAGUGAAGACGUGCCUCAACCCAGAUGUGUUAGACAUACUCAUCGUCAACUGCAGCCUCUUCAACCCAACUCCAUCCCUUGCUGACAUGAUCAUGACAAAAUUCAAGCUUCGGGGUGACAUCCGGAUUGCACAGCUCUCUGGGAUGGGGUACAACGCAGGGAUAAAUGGCGUAGAUCUUGCAAUAAACAUCUUGCAAACGAUGCCUUAUGGUGCACAUGCAUUGGUGGUGUCCACAGAGAUCCUAACUGGACGGUACUACAUGGGGAGGAAGCAUGAGAUCUUGGUGACCAAUGCAUUAUUCCGCACUGGCGGUGCUGUCGUGCUCCUUUCAACCUCGAGAACAAAAGCCCGCUUUCAGCUCUUGCACAUCACUCGGAAGUCUACUGGCGCCAAAUACAAUGCCCACCGUUGUGUAUUCCAACAGGAAGAUGACGAGGGUUAUCUAGGGAUUCAUCUAUCAAAAGACCUUUUGGAUAUUGCUGAACUAUUGUCAUUUUUAUUCUCCUUCAUCACACGGAAGUUAUUCAACGCAAGGACCGAGGUGUAUAUCCCUGACUUCGGCAAAACCUUUGAUCAUUUUUGCAUCCAUGCUGGUGGACGAGCAGUGAUCGAUGGAGUUCAAAGAAGCCUCGACCUAUCAAAUGAGCAUGUCGAGCCAUCAAGGAUGACACUGUACCGGUAUGGGAAUACAUCAAGUAUCUCCUUCUGGUAUGAGCUAGCGUAUAUUGAAGCUAAAGGCCGAAUGAGGAAGGGAGACCAAGUUUUAAUGAUUGGGUUUGGAUCUGGUUACAAGUGCAACAGUGCCAUUUGGAAGUGCAUCCGGUCGAUCCAAAAUGUUGAUAGAGCAUGGGCAAAUUGCAUCCAUCGCUACCCGAUAGAUGUCUUUAAAUAG
rnacentral:rRNA from 1 species